CACAGCAGAAACACCGUGCUAUGGAAAUGGGAAAAGUCUGGGAUAUGGGAUGUGGGAUGCUAAUCCUGCCCUGUCAUCGGAAGAGCACAAGU